CCCAUUUAGGUUAGUUUGGUGU
rnacentral:siRNA from 1 species